AUUGAACGCUGGCGGCAGGCCUAACACAUGCAAGUCGAACGAGUGGCGGACGGGUGAGUAAUGUCUGGGAAACUGCCUGAUGGAGGGGGAUAACUACUGGAAACGGUAGCUAAUACCGCAUACCAUCAGAUGUGCCCAGAUGGGAUUAGCUUGUUGGUGGGGUAACGGCUCACCAAGGCGACGAUCCCUAGCUGGUCUGAGAGGAUGACUGGCCCAACUGGGACGGAGACACGGUCCAGCCGCCUACGGGCGGCAGCAGUGGGGAAUAUGGCACAAUGGGAGCAAGCCUGAUGCAGCCAUGCCGCGUUUAUGAAGAAGGCCUUCGGGUUGUAAAGUACUUUCAGCGGGGAGGCGUUACCCGCAGAAGAAGCACCGGCUAACUCCGUGCCAGCCGCCGCGUUAAUAC
rnacentral:rRNA from 1 species